AACUUCGUGCCAGCAGCCGCGGUAAUACGAAGGGGGCGAGCGUUGUUCGGAAUUACUGGGCGUAAAGGGUGUGUAGGCGGUUAAGUAAGAUAGUGGUGAAAUGCCGGGGCUCAACCUCGGAAUUGCCAUUAUGACUAUUUAGCUAGAAUGAUGCAGAGGAAAGCGGAAUACCCAGUGUAGAGGUGAAAUUCGUAGAUAUUGGGUAGAACACCAGAGGCGAAGGCGGCUAUCUGGGCAUUGAUUGACGCUGAGGCACGAAAGCAUGGGGAUCAAACAGGAUUAGAUACCCUGGUAGUCCAUGCUGUAAACGAUGAAUGCUAGUUGUUGGAGGAAUUCAGUGACGCAGUUAACACAAUAAGCAUUCCGCCUGGGGAGUACGGUCGCAAGAUUAAAACUCAAAGGAAUUGACGGGGACCCGCACAAGCGGUGGAGCAUGUGGUUUAAUUCGAUGCAACGCGAAGAACCUUACCAACUCUUGACAUCCUCAUUAGGGAGGGGAGAGAUUCCCUCUUUCAGUUAGGCUGGGUGAGUGACAGAUGCUGCAUGGCUGUCGUCAGCUCGUGUCGUGAGAUGUUGGGUUAAGUCCCGCAACGAGCGCAACCCCUGCUAUCAGUUGCCAUCAGGUAGAGCUGGGCACUCUGAUAGGACUGCCGGUGACAAGCCGGAGGAAGGUGGGGAUGACGUCAAGUCAUCAUGGCUCUUACGAGUUGGGCUACACACGUGCUACAAUGG
rnacentral:rRNA from 1 species